rnacentral:lncRNA from 1 species
AAAAGGAAAACUCAAAAACCCUAGAUCCUAAGAUAAAUCAGAAUUUACCUCACUUUGUCUCUGAUACCAACUGACGCAGAACCCUAUGGCACAAGUCUCAAACCCACACGUACAAGUAGAUAUGAAAUCCAAAGAUUUGAUAAACCCACCUCCUAUGGCACCCCACACUUAGAGAAGUUGAAACACCAAUGAUCAAAGGAUUUAAAUGAGAAUCCGACAAAUGCCACAAUAAAUAGUUGAUAAGUUAGCCAAGAUUCUUCGUGCAAUUGAUGAAAGCAAAUCCUCACUCUCACUAAAAGUAAUACACGCCAAAGGCAUGAAAAGAAUUCUGAAAUUUUUUAUUCAAAGCUGCCUCUUACAAGUGUUUCUUAUCCUUAUAUAAUAAGGAGAGAAAAUAAAACCCUAAGAUACUCUUUUUAGGGCUAGCCGAACUACACAUAAGGCCCAAGUCCAAUCACACGCUAAAAUAACACAUCAAAUACAUAAGUAUUAAAACAUAAGCCCAAAACAUGGCCCAACACUCUAAAACUUAAAAGAUAAAAUAUGGCCAGAAUACAAGCCCAAACAAAGCUAAAAUAAAACAAGUGUUUAAAUAAUAAAACAUAGUAAGCCCAUCAAAACAAAGCUGAAUCUUCACAAAAGCCUUUCUUGAUCUUCACUUUGGCUUCCCUUUGUGUAGUUUUAGCCCAUAGAUUUGAUUAGGCUCCCUAAGCCUAUGAUUGCAAGUGUUACACCAAAUUUGCCCCAUAUGAUUUGAAGCACGCCCCAAAUAUAUAUGGAUCAUAUGAAUAUGAUUUUGAACUCCUUUUAGAUCCAUUUGAAUGAUAUAAGUUUGCAUCACACCAUUAUUAGAAAUUUGUCCUAUUGGAUCCGUAUCAAAAGCUCAAGCUCUUGUUGGCUUCAUAGCUGAAUGCUCCUUGAAUGAAGAACAGCCAGAGUUCAGUAGAGAGUUAUCGGGCUCAGCAGAAGGAGAGAGUGGAGGAAAACCACUAUAAGAAUUCAGCUGGAAGUUGUUUGUGGAUGGGGCAUCCAGUGUUGGGGGCAGUGGUGCUGGAAUACUGCUAAAAGGCCUAGAAGAGUUCAAGAUCUACUAUGCCCUACAACUGGAGUUUAUAGCCUCUAAUAACAUGGCAGAAUAUGAAGCCCUAAUAAACGGGAUGCUGAUAGCAAUAGAAGUAAGGGCAACCAGUCUCAAAAUAAGCAGCGACUCCCAGCUGGUGAUUAAUCAAAUACGGGUGCAUACCAAGCAAGGGACAUCAUGCAGAAGUACUUGGCAGGUGAGAGCCGUAGAGGCCGAGCUCAGUGAGCAGGGAAUUGUUAUGCAAUACUAGAGGACAGCUCGAGAGGAGAACGAAGAAGUAGACCUACUUAGCCACCUAUCCGAAGAAGAACUGGAACAGCUCCCAGACGAGGUGUACAUACAGCACAUCAACACCCCCACUUUUGAAAAACCCACCACAAUAAUGCAGAUUGAAGAAGGGUAGAACUGGAUGACCCCGUACCUAGAGUACUUAGAGAAUGGGAAGCUCCCUGAGGUUAAAGCUGAAGCAAGGAAAAUCACAGCCCAGGCUGCCAAUUAUCAGGUGGUAAGGGGGACUCUAUACUAGAGAGGAAAUUCCAGUAUGUGGCUCCGAUGUGUAGGUCUAGAAGAGGCGGCUAGGGUGAUUGAUGAGAUACAUCAGGGAGUCUAUGGAGCGCACAAAGGAGCAGACAUGUUGGCAAACAAGAUCUUCAGGCAAGGUUACUACUGGCCCAUAGUUAAAAAAGAAGGAGAGGAAUUCGUCAGAAGAUGUGAGUUUGCCAAAGGUUUGCCAACACCAUCAAUAUCCCAGCUACACCACAGUCCAGCUAUCAAGCCCUUGGCCAUUCUCACUGUGGGGCAUAGACAUCCUGGGCCCUUUCCCUAAGACCACCGGGCAAAAGAAGUUUGUGAUAGUAGUAGUAGAGUACUUCUCCAAGUGGCCCAAAGUUGAGGCCGUGCCCACCAUCACAGCGCGAAAGUAAUAGACUUCAUCUGGGGCAAUAUCAUCUGCAGAUUUGGCAUAUCGAGGACACUUAUAUUAGACAAUGGCAAACAGUUCAACUGCAAAUCCUUCAAGGAUUUCAAGAGAAACAUGGGCAUCUGUCACAAGUUCUCCUCAGUAGCCCAUCCUCAAACAAAUGGCCAGACGGAGGUCAUGAACCGAGCUAUCCUUUAGGGAUUAAAAAAGCGAUUGGAUGGAGCAAAGAAGAACUGGGUACCCGAACUCAACAGCAUCCUAUGGGCGUUCAGGACUACCUCGCGAACACCAACGAAGGAGACACCGUUCACAUUGGCAUUCGGCACCGAGGCUAUAGUCCCCAUUGAACUAUAAAUCCCUUCUCACCUUGUCCAAUUCAAGACACUAACGGGGAGAAGCUAAGAAGCAACUUGGAUGCCCUAAAAGAUAUUAGAGAGGAAACCCAAGUGUGCACUGCUGCUUAUUAACAAAAGGCAGCCCGCUACUACAACUAGAAAGUUAGAGAAAAGAGCUUAAAAGUUGGAGAUUUAGCCUUGAGGAGGCUAGAAGCCACGGGGAAUAGAGCGGCGGUAGGGAAGUUGGCACCAACCUGGGAAGGCCCUUCAGGAUAAUUAAAGUCGUUAAGGCUGGAGUCUAUCGGAUUGAAGACCUACAAGGGAACCCAGAACCUCAUGCUUGGAAUAUCCAACACCUGAAGAGGUACUUCCCUUGAAAUAUGUACUAUGUAACACUUUGUACUAUGAAAAUACGAAUGAAAUGAGAAAUGCUAUUUUUAUCUCCCUAUAUAUCUCAAGUAUUUUUAAGACAGGUACUGCAAGCCCUCAGUGAGGUAGGUGACUGGCCUCAGAAAAUGAUCGCCAGCAACACAAAACCGAGCUGAAAAGGAAACAAGCUGUCAGUGAGGUAGGUGACUAGCCUCGGAAAAUGACCACCAGCACCACAAAAUCGAGCUGAGAGGGAAACAAACCCUCAAUGAGUGACUCGCGGUUGUCGAAGCCGGUCAAAAAUAACCUUUCUGGUUAUCAACAAUAUUACUACUAUAGAUAGUGGUAAAGGAUCAAAUCCACAGAGAAUUGAAAACUUAUCUAUCUUUCUUAACAAGACCAAGAGAAUUAGCUGAAAGAGAAACUGAAAGCAAAAUAAACUGAAACGAGAUAAAACUGAAACCAAAUAACUGAAAAUAAAAUGAGGGGUUUUGAGAUUGAUUCAAUUAAACAACUACUGAAAGCAAUGAAAUAAGCGAAUAAUAAAAUAAAAGGGAAAUCAAUAAUGAGAAGGCUCUAAUUGAAGAAUUGGGUCCACUUCAGUUGUUAGGAUUGAUCAUUGAAACUUAUGUUCUUUUGAUUGAUUCAAUAGAUUAGUUAUGGAGAUGAAAAAUGCUUCUCACCAUCAUGUCUCUCCUUAAGAUUAAACCAAUUAAAGAACGUCCUCUAAUUAAUUACUAAUUAACAAGUUGCCAAGGAACGUCCUUGGGCCUUAGGCAUCAAAAUAACUGUUAAUUGCAUGAAGAGAUAGAGAGAGCCAAUCCUAGCUACUCAAACGCAUGAGAUGUUGCUAGAUCAUACAAUUUCCUUAGUUUUUACACCAAGUGUUCUUAUGUUUGAACAAUCCAAGCUAUUACGGACUUAAAUUAUCCAAACUAACAAUAUAUUACCUUGCAAUCAAGAAUCAAGUGGCCAGUUUGAUCAAAACAACAAAGCAAUAAUGGAAUCAAGCAUGAAAUUAUAUGAAUAUUGAAUAAACCAAAGACAAAUAACUUAUGUUCAGAUCUCACAAUCCAUAAAACAACUUAAGUUUCAACCAAUCUUCAACUAGAAUAAAAGGUUUCAGCCACUCAUGGUUGAACCAAAAACCAAAAAUAAAAGAAAAGAAGAAAGGUAGAAGAAGAGAAGGUGUGGGCGUCGGCCUUGUGCAAUCCGAGAAGAUGAAGUGUAAGAAGAGUUGAGGAAGAAGAUUUUCGGCUAGCUUAUGUGUUUCUUAAAUAAGAUUAGAUGUUGACCUUGCUACCCAAGUUGUGUUUGAAAAGGAAAGAAUCGAGUUGCAAGGUCUUCAAAAGGAAGGAGGCACGCGGAUGGCUCUUUAAAAGGAAGGUAGGCGCUCGGAUGGCUUGUGCAAAGGGAAAGAUAUGAUGUCCAAUCUUUCCUUUUAGGUGGAGCCUUCGUUUGAAUUUCAAAUCUUGAAUGCUGAACGCAAGAGAGGAAGUGCGUCUUCUUGAAAUCUUGCUGCCUAAAUAGGAAGAUCUGACUGCUUAAGUGUCUACACAUCUUUAAAUAAGGAAAAAAAGAUCUGCAAUUUGAAUUUCAAAUAAUCUUCUGACUGCGCUUUCCUUAUUUGCUUUCGCUUCUGCACUUUCCUUAUUUGAAACUUUCCUUAUUUGGCACUUUUUAGCAAUCUUGCCUUAAAUACAUCAGAAAAAUCAGUAUCAUUCUCAUAUGCAAAGACGCAAAGGAUAGUUAAGAAAUUAUUACUAAGCCUAGCUCUGAUACCAAUUGAUGCGGAACCCCAGCCUAUUAGAGACUGAAACGACACAUACCCUAGUAAAAAGAACUUAAUUCAAAAAAUAAUUCCCCAAUCUAAAGCACCCUUAAUUAACAUGCAAUUAAGAACACUUAUAAUGGAUUGAUUUCAAGAGCAGCAAGAAUAAGAAACAUACAAGUUAGUAUCAAACCUUAUUCGUGAUUCAAUAUCAAGAACCAAGAUCUCUCUUAAGCUCUCAAAAAAGAAUCGCAUAAAGCAAUUGUAUUGAAUAAUUGAUAAUCUGUGUGUACAAUAUAGAAAAAGAGAUGCUUUAUAUAGCCUAAAUUAAGACCAUGAUCUUUGCCACUUCCCACUACUAUACAUGGACCCAUGAUCUAUGCCACUUCCCACUACUAUAUAUGGACCCAUGAUCUUUGCCACUUCCCACAACUAUGCAUGGACCCAUGAUCUAUGCCACUAUCCACUACUAGAUAACUACCCACUACUGUUUAACUACCCACUACCAAAUAACUACCCACUACUGGUUAACUACCAACUACUAAAUAACUACCCACUAUAAAUACAAAAUUUGAAUUAUCAAUAAGGACACAUUUGGCCUAAUUCACUUGGAAUGACCAGAUUGUUCUUCAACUUCAAAAUAAACUUACAAAGCUUCAAUAUAUUCCUUCAUGAAUCCUUGAAGUGCUUCCUUCAACCUCUUGUAUCUCAGCCUUGUAAUUGGUCCUUGAGGCAAUGCUAGCUCAUCAUUUUUGGUGUUGUUGGUCGUGCUUACAUCAAAAAAGAAGAAAAAAAAAAGAAAAAAAGAAUUUCUACAAUUAACCUAUUUUAAGUGUCUUUUUUGUGUGCUUGCUUUGAAUUGUUUUUGUUGAGUCAAUAUUAAGAUCAAUUAACCUAGGAUUGCAUGCUUAGGGAUAACUUCGUGUUAAGCACAUCCGUCUUGUUAAUUUUUGAUUCUUAGUUUGUCAAUUUGGUGUCUUUCUGUUUGUUGGUUCCUUAUACUUAGUUUGACAAAUUGCACAUUGUUGAACAUCUAAUUACACUUAGUACACGAAAUUUCACUUUUGUGUGCUAAAUCAAUCCGUUUGUUCAUUUUGGUCAGUUUGCAUCUAGUGUUGUUUCCUAUCUUUUCUUGUUAGGUCUUUCCUUGCAUGCCUUAUUAUUUGAAUCAUACAAGCUUGGCUUAUUGAGUCUUUAUUCUGAAGUGCACUUUUGAGAUACCAAGUGAGUGCUUGAAAGUUAAACACGUGAGUUGAGAGAAUUGUGAAUUUUUCUAUAAUGUCUGGGCAUAAUACUGGUGAUAUUUCUGACUCUACGUUUGAUCUUAAAGAUAUGUAUAAAGCUUUCAUGGAUAGCUUUCAGAUGCUAAAUUUGAGAAUGGAUAACCUUGAGGACAACCUUAGAUCUUCAAAGGGCAAGUCCAAUCAGGGGGAUGAUGAUACACACGAUCCAUCCUAUGAAGAGGAAAAUGUGGCACAAUCAGCCCCUUUCCGAGCCAAAAGGUUCAAUGAUCGUGUACCCUAUGUAGAUAACAAUAUGAACUCCAUAAAGAUGAAGAUUCCAAGCUUCAAUGGUAAGGCUGAUGUUGAUGCCUAUUUAGAGUAGGAGCGUAAAGUGGAGAUGGUUUUUAACUGCCAAAGCUAUUCCGACGAUAAGAAGGUAAAACUUGCUGCCCUUGAGUUUUCAGACUAUGCACUAAUAUGGUGGGAUGAGCUUGUGAAAUCUAGGAGAAGGAAUGGAGAGUUACAUAUUGCUAGUUGGGAAGAGAUGAAGCGAAUCAUGAGGAAGAAAUAUGUGCCUACUUAUUACCAUAGAGAUCUCCAUCAUCAGUUGCAAAGAUUAACCCAAGGAUCAAAAUCUGUUGAUGUGUAUCAUAAGGAGAUGGAGUUGCUCCUGAUCAAAGCAAACAUAGUGGAGGAGGAAGACCAUACCAUGGCUCGUUUCUUUGGUGGUCUAAACAAAGAGAUUGCUGAUGUGGUUGAUUUGCAACCAUAUGUUGAUUUGGAAGACUUGGUGAACAUUGCCAUUAAGGUGGAAAGACAAAGAGGCCGAAAUAGAUGGGGGAGUAACAGGACUGCUCAAAACUCCAACAGCAAAUGGGAUUCCAAAUGGAACACCAAGACUGAUCCUCAAACGUUUGAUAAGUCUUCAACUCAAAAAGGCAUGUUACCUUCCAAAGAAACAUCCAACUCUCUUGGUAAAAAUGAAUCAGCCCCUAAAUCUAAUAGGACUAGAGAUAUUCAGUGCUUUAAAUGUAAAGGGUGUGGACAUUAUGCCAAUGAGUGUGUUAAUAAAUGUGCCAUGAUAGUGAGGGGAGAUGAGAUGGUCUCCGAAACUGAUUCUGAUUCUGAUUAAAUACCACCUUUAGAAGAUUUUUCUGAUGUAGAGAUAGAAGAGUAUCCUGUUCAGGGAGGGUCCUUGGUCAUAUUGCAUACUUUAAAUGUUUCUAUUAAAGAAGAGGGGCUUGAACAGCGUGAAAACAUCUUUCACACUUGUUGUUUGAUAGGUGGUAAACUCUACUGCAUGAUAAUAGAUUCGGGUAGUCAAGUUAAUUGUGCUAGUACUAUUUUAGUUGAUAAAUUAGGACUAGAAACUAUUAAAUACCCUAAUCCUUACAGACUUCAGUGGUUGAAUGAUAGUGGCGAGGCAAAGGUAACCAAGCAAUGUAAAGUGUCAUUUUCUAUUGGCAAGUAUGUAGAUGAGGUUACUUGUGAUAUUGUACCCAUGCAGGCUGGACAUAUUUUGUUGGGUAGACCAUAGCAAUUUGAUAGGCAUGUCAUUCAUGACGGAUAUAGUAAUAGGUUUUCUUUUACGUUCCUUGGCGCAAAACAUAUACUUGUACCAUUAUCUCCUAAAGAUGUAUAUGCAGAUCAAGUGAAAUUACAACAAUCUGCUAAAUUGGGUAAGGGAGGUGAGACAAGUAAAAAGAAUGAGGAAAAAGAGGUCAGUAGUAAAAAGAAGGUUUUAAAUGGCCCAAAGGAGAGUGAUUGUAUAGGAAAGGAUAAAAAUGAGAGACGUGCAGGAGAGAAAACGUUAGUGAGUGUGGAGGUAAAAGGAGAGUUGAGUGAGAAGAGUGCAGAAUUCAGCAAGUCUUCCUUUUAUUGUAAAGAGAGAGAGUUGAAGAAGGCAUACUUAGGGAAGGGUGCUUUGAUUAUGUUGCGUUUUAGUUCCAAUUUUAUGAUUGAGACUAACCCUACUAUUGAAUUGUACCAUUAUUUCCUGAGGAGGUGCCAUCUGGGUUGCCACCUAUUAGGGGAAUAGAACAUCAGAUCGAUUUUGUUCCUGGAGCUCAAAUUCCAAACCGUCCAGCUUACCGGAGUAAUCCUGAGGAGACGAAGGAAUUGCAAAAGCAAGUUGAUGAGUUGCUAGCUAAGGGACAUAUCAGGGAGAGCCUCAGUCUAUGCGCAGUACCUGUUUUGUUGGUUCCAAAGAAAGAUGGAACAAUGCGCAUGUGUGUUGAUUGUUGUGCGAUCAACAAAAUCACUGUAAAGUAUCGCCAUCCUAUUCCUAGAUUAGAUGAUAUGCUUGAAGAAUUAUGUGGUGCUGUUUUCUUUACCAAAAUUGAUUUGAAAAGUGGUUAUCAUCAAAUUAGGAUGAAGUUAGGUGAUGAGUGAAAAAUUGCCUUUAAGACUAAAUAUGGUUUCUAUGAAUGGUUACUGAUGCCUUUUGGCUUAACUAAUGCACCGAGCACAUUUAUGAGAUUGAUGAACCAUGUUUUGGGUGAUUACCUAAGUAAAUUUGUGGUUGUGUAUUUUGAUGAUAUAUUGAUUUAUAGCCGAAACCAUGAUGAUCAUAUUAGGCAUGUUGAACUUGUUCUACAAAAGUUGCGUGAACAUGAAUUGUAUGCUAAUCUUAAGAAAUGCACAUUUUUUACUGAUAGUGUCAUAUUCCUAGCAUUUAUUAUUAGUUCACGGGGAGUUGAGGUAGAAACUGAAAAGGUUAAGGCUAUCAAAGAAUGGCCUACACCUAAGAAUGCUAAUGAGGUGAGAUCCUUUGAUGGAUUAGCAAGCUUCUAUAGGAGGUUUGUUAGAGAUUUCAGCACUAUUGCUGCACCUCUAAAUGAGAUUAUUAAAAAGGCUGUUGGGCUUAAAUGGGGUAAAGAACAAGAACUUGCAUUUAACACAUUAAAAGAAAAACUUACUACUGCUCCUGUUUUAAGGUUACCUGAUUUUUCUAAAACCUUUGAAAUCGAAUGUGAUGGUUCUGGGAUUGGUAUUGGUGCUGUUCUUAUGCAGGAAGGCCAACCCAUAGCAUAUUUCAGUGAGAAACUAGGUGACGCACAUUUGAACUAUUCCACCUAUGACAAAGAGUUCUAUGCACUGAUUAGGGCUCUUGAAGUUUGGGAGCACUACUUGCUGCCUAAUGAGUUUGUGAUUCAUACCGACCAUCAAUCUCUCAAACACUUGAAGGGACAAGGUAAGUUGAACAAGCGGCAUGGUAAGUGGGUUGAGUAUCUCGAAAUCUUUCCUUAUGUGAUUAAAUAUAAGCAAGGUAAAGAGAAUAUGAUAGCUGAUGCAUUAUCUAGACGUUAUGCAUUGACUUCCAUGCUUAGUUCUAAUUUGUUAGGGUUUGAGCAUUUGAAAGACAUGUAUGAGAAUUAUAUUGAUUUUUCUGAUGUAUUUAAGGCAUGUGAACAUGGGGCGUUUAACAAGUUUUAUUUGCAUGAUGAGUUUCUUUUUAGAGGGAAACAAAUAUGCAUACCCAAUUGUUCAGUGCGUGAGUUGCUUGUUAGAGAAUCGCAUUCAGAAGGGUUAAUGGGACAUUUUGGUGUGCAAAAGACUUUAGACAUGUUGAAUGAACACUUUUAUUGGCCUAACAUGCGAAAAUAUGUAGAGAAAAUUUGUGCUCAAUGCUUUGCAUGUAAACAAGCUAAAUCUAAGUCCUUGCCACAUGGGUUGUAUACUCCUUUGCCUGUACCUACUAAACCUUGGACUGAUAUAUCUAUGGAUUUUGUAAUAGGUUUACCUAGGACAAAACGAGGUAGAGAUUCAGUGUUUGUUGUUGUAGAUCACUUUAGUAAGAUGGCACAUUUUAUUCCAUGCCAUAAAACUGAUGAUGCAACAAACAUAGCUGAUUUGUUUUUCAGGGAAGUAGUCCGUUUGCAUGGUAUACCUAGGACUAUUGUUUCUGAUAGAGAUUUUAAGUUCUUUAGUCAUUUCUGGCGUGUUUUGUGGGGGAAAUUGGGUACUAAUCUUUUAUUUUCUACUACUUGUCAUCCACAGACAGAUGGCCAAACUGAAGUUGUUAAUAGGACUUUAGGAACUAUGCUUCGUGCUAUUGUGGGAAGGAACUUAAAAACUUGGGAAGAAUGUUUGCCAUAUGUUGAAUUUGCUUAUAAUCGCGCUGUCCAUUCUUCUACUGGUUAUUCACCUUUUGAGAUUGUAUAUGGUUUUAAUCCAUUAACUGUAUUAGAUUUAAUGCCUUUACCUUUGAACGAGUUGUCUAAUUUAGAUGGAAAAGCGAAGGCUGAAAUGGUUAAAUCAAUACACAUGAAAGCGCGUGAGCAUAUUUAGAAGCGUUACAACAUGUAUGAGAAACAGGCCAAUAAGGGUCGCAAGAAAGUUGUAUUUAGACCAGGUGAUUGGGUUUGGAUCCAUAUGCGAAAGGAGAGGUUUCCUAAUCUAAGGAAAUCAAAACUGGAUGCACGAGGGGAUGGACCAUAUCAAGUGCUGAAAUGGAUCAAUGACAACGCAUAUGUAAUUGAUCUGCCAGGUGAGUUUGGUGUAAGUGCUACCUUUAAUGUUUCUGAUUUGUCUCCUUUUGAUUUUGGUACAGAUUCGAGGACGAAUCCUUUUCAAAAGGGAGGGGAUGAUGUAAGCACAACCAACAACACUGAUGAGCUAGCAUUGCCUCAAGGAACAAUUACAAGGUUGAGAUCCAAGAGGUUGAAGGAAGCACUUCAAGGAUUCAUAAAGGAAUAUGUUGAAGCUUUGCAAGUUCAUUUUGAAGUUGAAGAACAAUCUGUCAAUUCCAAGUCAAUUAGGCCGAAUGUGUGCUUAUGGACAAUUCAAACUUUGUAUUUAUAGUGGGUAGUUAUUUAAUAGUGGGUAGUUAUUUAGUAGUAGGUAGUUAUUUAGCAGUUGGUAGUUAACCAGUAGUGGGUAGUUAACCAAUAGUGGGUAGUUAUCCAGUAGUGGAUAGUUAACCAGUAGUGGGUAGUUAUCCAGUAGUGGAUAGUGGCAUAGAUUAUGGAUCUAUGCAGAGUAGUGGAUAGUGGCAUAGAUCAUAGGUCCAUGCAUAGUAGUGGGAAGUGGCAAAGAUCAUGGGUCUUUAUUUAGGUUAUAUAAUGCAUCUUUUUUCCAUAUUGUAGGGAGAUUAUCAAUUAUUCAAUACAAUUGCUUUAUGCGAUUCUUCUUUGAGAGCUUAAGAGAGAUCUUGGUUCUUGACAUUGCAUCACGAAUAAAGUUUGAUACUAACUUGUAUGUUUCUUAUUCUUACUGCUUUUAAAAUCAAUCAGUUAUAAGUGUUCUUAAUUGCAUGUUAAUUAAGGGUGCUUUAAAUUGGGGAGCUGUUUUCUGAACUAAGUUCAUUUUACUAGGAUAUGUGUCGUUUCAGUCUCUAAUAGGCUGGGGUUCCGCGUCAGAUAGGUGAUGCAGAGAGGUGUUUGAUCGCCUAAAGGGGCUGCCAACUCUCUCAGUGUUCUUUCUCUUGGUACUGGUGCCCUCAUUGCUGGAUUUUCUGGUAUUAAUUCAUCAUGAACAGUAGGUUCAGCAUGUGCAGCAGGUUUUCUGUUGAUUUCAGCCAUCUCUGCGGCCGUUUGGUCAAGUUCUGCAGAGUUGCACUAUGUUUCUGCGAUUGCCGGUUCUGUUUCUGCAGCAUGUGAUGCUGCGAUGGGUGUUGCUGGUUCCUUAGGGGCAGCAACUUUUGGUUCGGUGGUGGCAGAUUCUGUAUGAGCUGUCUCUUGGACAACAACAGUUUCGGCGGUGACUUGCUCCCCAAGUCGGGUUGACUUGCUUCCCAAUUUAGCUGUUUGGCUCCUCGGCUUGACUUGCUUCCCAAGUCGCUUGAUUGUACGCUCAAUUUCUGGAUCGUAAGGUAGAGUUUCCUUGCAUCCAGACCUAGUCAUGAAAGAAAAACAAAUUAUUUAAAUCAAUUCCCCAGUAACGGCGCCAAUUUUUGGCUGUGCGGUUGUCGAAGGAUCGAAUCCACAGAGAAUUGAUACUCACCUAUUUUUCUUAUCAAAGACCAAGUAAAGAAAUUGCAAAUAAAUAAAACGGGGUUUUGAGAUUUGUUGAAUUAAACUAAUACUGAAAGCAAUAAAGUAAAGCAAAUAAUAAAGUAAAGCAGAUUCAAAUAUAAAAAAAGCUCUAGUUGAAGAAUUGGAUCCACUUCAAUUGUUUGGAUUGAUCAUUGACACUUAGGUUCCUUUAUUUAAUUCAAUAAAUUAGUUAUGGAGGUGGAAGACGCUUCUCACCACCAUAUCCAUCCUUAAGCAUAGAUUAACUAGGAAACGUUCUCUAAUUAAUCACUAAUCAACAAAUUGCCAAGGAACGUCCUUGGGGCUUUUAGCAUCAAUCAACCAUUAAUUGCACCCAAACGUAUGGUGAUAUCGCUAGGUUAUGCAAUCUCCUUGAUUUUUACACCAAGAGUUAUUUGUGUUUGAAUAAUCCAAGCAAGUACGGACUUAAAACUAUCCAAACUAAGUAUUACUUUGCAAUCAAGAAUCAAUGGGCCCUAUUGAUCUAAACAACAAAGCAACAAUGGAAUUAAGCAUGAAAUUGUGAUACGGUUCCAAUAGGAUAAAUUUCUAACAAUGGUGUGGAGCAAACUUAUGUCAUUCAAAUGGAUCUAAAAGGAGUUCAAAAUCAUAGUCAUAUGAUCCAUAUAUAUUUGGGGCGUGCUUCAACUCAUAUGGGACAGAUUUGGUGCAACACUUGCAAUCAUAGGCUUAGGGAGCCUAAUCAAACCUAUGGGCUAAAACUACACAAAGGGAAGCCUAAAGUGAAGAUCAAAUAAGGCUUUUGUGAAGAUUCAGCUUUGUUAUAAUGGGCUUGCUAUAUUUUUAUUAUUUAACACUUGUUUUAUUUUAGCUUUGUUUGGGCUUGUAUUCUGGCCAUACUUUAUCUUUUAAGUUUUAGAGUGUUGGGCCAUGUUUUGGGCUUAUGUUUUAAUACUUAUGUGUUAUUUUAGUGUGUGAUUAGGCUUGGGCCUUAUGUGUUUAAGUCAGGUCCAAGAAGAGUGUCUUAAGGUUUUAUUUGUUUUUCCCCUUACUAUAUAAGGAUAAGAAACAAUUGUAUGAGGCAGCUUUUAAUCAAACUUUUCAGAAUUUCUUUCAUGCCUUUGGCGUGUAUUGCUUUGAGUCCAGGAAUCUUGGCUAACUUAUCAACUAGUCGUUGUGGUGUUUGUCGGAUUCUCAUCUAAAUCCUUCGAUCAUUGGUGUUUCAGCUUCUCUAAGUUUGGGGUGCCAUAGGAGAUGGGUUUAUCAAAUCUUUGGAUUCCGUAUCUACUUGUGCGUGUGGGUUUGAGGCUUGUGCCAUAGGGUUCCGUAUCAAAUACAUCAGAAAAAUCAGUAUCAUUCUCAUACAUAUCUUUCAAAUGCUCAAACCCUAACAACUUAGAACUAAGCAUGGAAGUCAAUGCAUAACGUCUAGAUAAUGCAUCAGCAACCACGUUCUCUUUACCUUGCUUGUAUUUAAUCACAUAAAGAAAGAUUUCGAGAUAUUCAGCCCACUUACCAUGCUGCUUGUUCAACUUCCCUUGUCCCUUCAAGUGUUUGAGAGACUGAUGGUCGGUAUGAAUCACAAACUCAUUAGGCAGCAAGUAGUGUUCCCAAACUUCAAGAGCCCUAAUCAGUGCGUAGAACUCUUUGUCAUAGGUGGAAUAGUUCAAAUGUGCACCACCUAGUUUCUCACUCAAAUAUACUAUGGGUCGGCCUUCCUACAUAAUAACAGCACCAAUACCAAUCCCAGAAGCAUCACAUUCAAUUUCAAAGGUUUUAGAAAAAUCAGGUAACCUUAAAACAGGAGCAGUAGUAAGUUUUUCCUUUAAUGUGUUAAAUGCAAGUUCCUAUUUUUUACCCCAUUUAAAUACUACAGCCUUUUUAAUGAUCUCAUUUAGAGGUGCAGCAAUAGUGCUGAAAUCUCUAACAAACCUCCUAUAGAAGCUUGCUAAUCCAUGAAAGGAUCUCACCUCAUUAGCAUUCUUAGGUGUAGGCCAUUCUUGGAUAGUCUUAACCUUUUCAGUAUCCACCUCAACUCCACGUGAACUAAUAAUAAAUCCUAGGAAUAUGACACUAUCAGUACAAAAUGUGCAUUUCUUAAUAUUAGCAUACAAUUCAUGUUCACGCAACUUCUGUAAAACAAGUUCAACAUGCCUAAUGUGGUCAUCCAUGUUUCGGCUAUAAAUCAAUAUAUCAUCAAAAUACACAACCACAAACUUACCUAGGUAAUCACGCAAAACAUGGUUCAUCAAUCUCAUAAAUGUGCUAGGUGCAUUAGUUAAGCCAAAAGGCAUCACUAACCAUUCAUAUAAACCAUAUUUUAUCUUAAAGGCAGUUUUCCACUCAUCACCUAACUUCAUCCUAAUUUGAUGAUAACCGCUUUUCAAAUUAAUUUUUGUAAAGAAAACAACAUCACAUAAUUCUUCAAGCAUAUCAUCUAAUCUAGGAAUAGGAUGGCGAUACUUUACAGUGAUUUUGUUGAUCGCACGACAAUCAACACACAUGUACAUUGUUCCAUCUUUCUUUGGAACCAACAAAACAGGUACUGCGCAUGGACUGAGGCUUUCCCUGAUUUGUCCCUUAACUAGCAACUCAUCAACUUGCUUUUGCAAUUCCUUCGUCUCCUCAUGAUUACUCCGGUAAGCUGGACGGUUUGGAAUCUAAGCUCUAGGAACAAAAUCGAUUUGAUGUUUUAUUCCCCUAAUGGGUGGCAACCCAGAUGGCACCUCCUCAGGAAAUACAUCCGCAAAGUCCUGUAAUAACUUAGAAAAAGAACUAGGCAAUUCAUUAGUACGGUUAGUCUCAAUCAUAAAAUUGGAACUAAAACACAAUAUAAUUAAAACUCUCUUCCCUAAGUGUGCUUUCUUCAACUCUCUCUCUUUACAAUAAAAGGAAGACUUGCUGAAUUCUUCACUCUUCUCACUCAGCUCUCCUUUUACCUCUACACUCACUAACGUUUUCUCUUCUGCACGUCUCUCAUUUUUAUCCUUUCCUGUGCAGUCACUCUCCUUUGGGCCAUUUGAAACCUUCUUUUUAUUACUGGCCUCUUUUACCUCAUUCUUUUUACUUGUCUCACCUCCCUUACCCAAUUUAGCAGAUUGUUGUAAUUUCACUUGAUCUGCAUAUACAUCUUUAGGAGAUAAUGGUACAAGUAUAUGUUUUGCGCAAUGAACGUAAAAGAAAACCUAUUACUAUACCCAUCAUGAAUGACACGCCUAUCAAAUUGCCAUGGUCUACCCAACAAAAUAUGUCCAGCCUGCAUGGGUACAAUAUCACAAGUAACCUCAUCUACAUACUUGCCAAUAGNNNNNNNNNNNNNNNNNNNNNNNNNNNNNNNNNNNNNNNNNNNNNNNNNNNNNNNNNNNNNNNNNNNNNNNNNNNNNNNNNNNNNNNNNNNNNNNNNNNNNNNNNNNNNNNNNNNNNNNNNNNNNNNNNNNNNNNNNNNNNNNNNNNNNNNNNNNNNNNNNNNNNNNNNNNNNNNNNNNNNNNNNNNNNNNNNNNNNNNNNNNNNNNNNNNNNNNNNNNNNNNNNNNNNNNNNNNNNNNNNNNNNNNNNNNNNNNNNNNNNNNNNNNNNNNNNNNNNNNNNNNNNNNNNNNNNNNNNNNNNNNNNNNNNNNNNNNNNNNNNNNNNNNNNNNNNNNNNNNNNNNNNNNNNNNNNNNNNNNNNNNNNNNNNNNNNNNNNNNNNNNNNNNNNNNNNNNNNNNNNNNNNNNNNNNNNNNNNNNNNNNNNNNNNNNNNNNNNNNNNNNNNNNNNNNNNNNNNNNNNNNNNNNNNNNNNNNNNNNNNNNNNNNNNNNNNNNNNNNNNNNNNNNNNNNNNNNNNNNNNNNNNNNNNNNNNNNNNNNNNNNNNNNNNNNNNNNNNNNNNNNNNNNNNNNNNNNNNNNNNNNNNNNNNNNNNNNNNNNNNNNNNNNNNNNNNNNNNNNNNNNNNNNNNNNNNNNNNNNNNNNNNNNNNNNNNNNNNNNNNNNNNNNNNNNNNNNNNNNNNNNNNNNNNNNNNNNNNNNNNNNNNNNNNNNNNNNNNNNNNNNNNNNNNNNNNNNNNNNNNNNNNNNNNNNNNNNNNNNNNNNNNNNNNNNNNNNNNNNNNNNNNNNNNNNNNNNNNNNNNNNNNNNNNNNNNNNNNNNNNNNNNNNNNNNNNNNNNNNNNNNNNNNNNNNNNNNNNNNNNNNNNNNNNNNNNNNNNNNNNNNNNNNNNNNNNNNNNNNNNNNNNNNNNNNNNNNNNNNNNNNNNNNNNNNNNNNNNNNNNNNNNNNNNNNNNNNNNNNNNNNNNNNNNNNNNNNNNNNNNNNNNNNNNNNNNNNNNNNNNNNNNNNNNNNNNNNNNNNNNNNNNNNNNNNNNNNNNNNNNNNNNNNNNNNNNNNNNNNNNNNNNNNNNNNNNNNNNNNNNNNNNNNNNNNNNNNNNNNNNNNNNNNNNNNNNNNNNNNNNNNNNNNNNNNNNNNNNNNNNNNNNNNNNNNNNNNNNNNNNNNNNNNNNNNNNNNNNNNNNNNNNNNNNNNNNNNNNNNNNNNNNNNNNNNNNNNNNNNNNNNNNNNNNNNNNNNNNNNNNNNNNNNNNNNNNNNNNNNNNNNNNNNNNNNNNNNNNNNNNNNNNNNNNNNNNNNNNNNNNNNNNNNNNNNNNNNNNNNNNNNNNNNNNNNNNNNNNNNNNNNNNNNNNNNNNNNNNNNNNNNNNNNNNNNNNNNNNNNNNNNNNNNNNNNNNNNNNNNNNNNNNNNNNNNNNNNNNNNNNNNNNNNNNNNNNNNNNNNNNNNNNNNNNNNNNNNNNNNNNNNNNNNNNNNNNNNNNNNNNNNNNNNNNNNNNNNNNNNNNNNNNNNNNNNNNNNNGGCCUGAGUGCCUCCUUGGGACUCUCCCAUACCUUCCUCUGACAUGCUAACUCCCAGACUGCCAUCCCUCCUCUGCUCUACAUCCAUCUCAUCCCCCAUGCUCUCAGACAUUCCUCCCUGAACUGUUCCUCUGACUGAUCUGCUUCUACCCAGAUCCAAAGACCUUCUAGGGUCUCUUGCUGCUCCUUCUCUGCUAGACCUACUAGACAUUGCCCUAGGCAAUGCUGGAGGACGGGAGCUCAUGCCCUCAUCCUCCGGUGGUACUCCAGUCAAUCUUGCUGAUCGACGAGUUCCUCUCAUCCUGUUUUCUGAAAAACAGUGCACAACACAUAAACAUUAGCAUCAUAUGGUUCAUGUGGGCACACAUGAACCCGCAUCACAUACAUCACAUAUCAUCGCAUAUCAUUAAUGCACAUGCUUAUUAUCAUGGCAUUUCACAUCAUCAUGCAAGACAGGACUCCACAUCCUAUCAUAGUGGACAUGAUCUUUUCCUAUUGUGCUUGACCUUCUAUAACAUCUAUGAGCCCGACACUCUAGGUCCGACCAUAUGAACCUAGGGCUCUGAUACCACUCUGUAACGACCCAAAAAUCCGGACCGCUACCGGCACUAGGAUCCAGAUCGGCUUAAGGCCGCCGGGAACCGUAGCAAGCCUGACAUAACCUGUGAACCUGUUUAAUCCCAUACAUGAUCAACAAAUCUCAUAAACCUGUAAACAUUCUCAUAUAUCAACCAACCUCAUCCGGUACGUAAUCAUAUACAUAAACAUAAACCUCCACUGGAGCCCUCAUCAAAUACUCCAAUGGGGUAUCUCAUCAUACACAAGAACUUGGUUGACUCAUAACAUCAAAACUUAUAAACAUAAGGAUCAUGUGUACAAAGGGGAUCACCAUGCUCAAAGGGGGUCAAGCACAAACUCUAAUCCUCAAUAUCAAUAAUACAUUACACAGCUUUUACAUUACUCUUACAUUACAACAUUUAUCAUGUCCACAACUAACUAUUACAACACAGGCAUGAAUCUACUCUUCCUGACCUCCUGGCCUAUCCCGUACCUGCACACCUGGGGGUUAGGGGAAAAGGGGUGAGCUACAAGAGCCCAGUGAGCAGAAAAUAAAACAUUACAUUUUUGAAUUCAUGCUUUCAUGAAAUGCGUCACAUCACAAACAAGCCACAUCAAGGGUAAACCUGUCACCAGCUAGUCCCAUCGUCAUAACUAAUGCCAGCGGCGUAGUCAAAGGCUCACUGGACUUCCUGUAAACAUAACAUAACUUACACUGCCCCAAGGCCUUAUUAGGCACUUGGUCUUGGUGUCCCAUAGUGCCAAGGGCGUAGUCAAAGGCUCCCUGGUCUUUCUUUCUCAUAGUGCCAGGGGCGUAGUCAAAGGCUCCCUGGUCUUCCUGCCAGGAACUAGUGCAUCAUCCAGCAUUUACCCACAUCAACAACAUAAUAUACAAUGUAACAUAUUCGUGAUGUCUAAUGCAAGCAACCUAGAAUAUCACGAGGCAAUCGUGAUGCAUGAACAUGCUCAAAAUUAUAUUUCAUUGAUUUAAAACUUAUGAGUUUAUUCUACUCACCUUUGGCUGAAGCUUUACUAACUCGGGAGCAGUUGAACUCACUGCUGAGGUCCUCGGUUCCUCAGGUCCGAACCUACACAGGUGGACUCAAAUGAGGUUCCUCGGGUCCGAACCUACACAGGUGGACUCAAAUGAGGGACCAACAUACUACAACAUAUCUCUAAAAACAUCCCCCAAAAACCCCUAAAACAUCAUGAAAACAUCACAUAAAAACAUGCAAGAAAUGGUUGAACAGGGCACUUUCGGCGGCAGGUUCGGCGGCCGAAAGUCCCUCCAGAGCCGAAAGUCAGGCACUUUCGACGGCACCUUCGGCAGCCGAAAGUCCCAGACAGAUCCGAAAGUCUUCUUUCGGGGGCGAGCUUCGGCAGCCGAAUGCUGCCUCCACAAGGGGGUUCGGCGGCCGAAAGUUCCUUCGGCUGCCGAACCUGGUUUCUCCCCAAUGGGCAGAAACUUGGCUCUCAUGAGCCUCUUGCCUCCCAAAACCUCAAAUCAUGCAUAUAGCUCAACUAAAACAUGCAUACAAGUUCCUAGGGGUCUCAAGACAAUCAUAUACCCCAACUACAACACUUCAAACACACACAAACAACACACAUUGUUCAAAACAUCAAUAUUAACCCAUAACUCAACAUAUAUCCUAACAUGCAUUUCUACCCAUAGAUCUUGCAUAAAACUUAUUUAAUACACAUAAGGAGCUUAAGAUCGGCUCUUACCUCUUGAAGAUCGAGAGGGAGACGACCUAAACUUGGAGAUCCACGAAAAUGAGCUCCUAAGUUUCCAAAGCUCCAAAACUUGUUUCAAAAGCUCAAAACCUUCAAUGCAAGCUUAAAACUCAAGAAAAAUGGUGGGGAUUUGAAGGAAGAACACUAGAUUUGGAAGAGGGAGGUCGGAAGCUAGCUGUGGCCGAAAAUGGGAGAAAGCUCACCCAUUUCGGCCAAGUGACCCUUUUAUAGGUGGCUGGCCAGGCCACGUUCGGGGGCCGAAAGUGCUUCCGCAUGCAUGCCAUGUUCGGCGGCCGAACUUGAGUUUCGGCGGCCGAACCUGGACUUCCCUCACUCAUGCUUUCGGGGGCCUAACGUGCCUCCAAAACGCAUGCAUUUUCGGCGGCCGAACCUGGGUUUUCCUCCAAGGACUUUUCAUGCAAAACUCAUUUAAUUUCAUACUUAAAACAUUAAAAUUCAUGAAAACAUUUUACAAAAACAUGAUUUUACCCUUCUAGAGGUCUCCGACAUCCGAGAUCCCACCGGACGGUAGGAAUUCCGAUACCGGAGUCUAGCCGAGUAUUACAACAAUCUUCUAAAGGUGGUAUUUCAUCAGAAUCAUUAUUAGUUUCGGAGACUAUCUCAUCUCCUUCACUAUCAUGGCACGUUUAUUAACACACUCAUUGGCAUAAUGCCCACGCCCUUUACAUUUAAAGCAUUGAAUAUCUCUAGUCCUAUUAGAUUUAGGGGCUGAUUCAUUUUUACUAUGAGAGUUGGAUGUUUCUUUGGAAGGUAACAUGCCUUUUUGAGUUGAAGGCUUAUCAAACCUUUUAGGAUCAGUCUUGGUGUUCCAUUUGGAACCCCAUUUGCUGUUGGAGUUUUCAGCAGUCCUGUUACUCCCCCAUCUAUUUCGGCCUCUUUGUCUUUCCACCUUAAUGGCAAUGUUCACCAAGUCUUCCAAAUCAACAUGUGGUUGCAAAUCAACCACAUCAGCAAUCUCCUUGUUUAGACCACCAAAGAAACGAGCCAUGGUCUGGUCUUCCUCCUCCACUAUGUUUGCUUUGAUCAUGAGCAACUCCAUCUCCAUAUGAUACUCAUCAACAGAUUUUGAUCCUUAGGUUAAUCUUUGCAACUGAUGAUGGAGAUCUCUAUGGUAAUAAGUAGGCACAUAUUUCUUCCUCAUGAUUCGCUUCAUCUCUUCCCAACUAGCAAUGGGUAACUCUCCAUUCGUUCUCCUAGAUUUCACAAGCUCAUCCCACCAUAUUAGUGCAUAGUCUGAAAACUCAAGGGCAGCAAGUUUUAUGAUACGGAUCCAAUAGAGCAAACUUCUAACAAUGGUGUGGAGCAAACUUAUUUCAUUCAAAUGGAUCUAAAAGGAGUUCAAAAUCAUAUUCAUAUGAUCCAUAUAUAUUUGGGACGUGCUUCAACUCAUAUGGGCAGAUUUGGUGCAACACUUGCAAUCAUAGGCUUAGGGAGCCUUAUCAAACCUAUGUGCUAAAACUACACAAAGGAAAGCCUAAAGUGAAGAUCAAGUAAGGCUUUUGUGAAGAUUCAGCUUUGUUAUGAUGGGCUUGCUAUAUUUUUAUUAUUUAACACUUGUUUUAUUUUAGCAUUGUUUGGGCUUCUAUUCUGGCCAUACUUUAUCUUUUAAGUUUUAGAGUGUUGGGCCAUGUUUUGGGCUUAUGUUUUAAUACUUAUGUGUUAUUUUAGUGUGUGAUUAGGCUUGGGCCUUAUGUGUUUAAGUCAGGUCCAAGAAGAGUGUCUUAGGGUUUUAUUUGUUUUUCUCCUUACUACAUAAGGAUAAGAAACAAUUGUGAGAGGGAGCUUUUAAUCAAAAUUUCAGAAUUCUUUUCAUGCCUUUGGCGUGUAUUGCUUUGAGUGAGAGUGAGGAUUUGCUUUCAUCAAUUGCACCAGGAAUCUUGGCUUACUUAUCAACUAUUCGUUGUGGCGUUUAACGGAUUCUUAUCUAAAUCAUUCGAUCAUUGGUGUUUCAGCUUCUCUAAGUGUGGGGUGCCACAGGAGGUGGGUUUAUCAAAUCUUUGGAUUCCAUAUCUACUUGUGCGUGUGGGUUUGAGCCUUGUGCCAUAGGGUUCCGCGUCAGUUGGUAUCAGAGCCAAAGUGAGGUAAAUUCUGAUUUAUCUCAGGAUCUAGAGUUUUUUUUUUUGAGUUUUCCUUUUCUUCCUUGUUGAUUUCAGUGAAAGCUUGCGUAUUCAUAGCUACACCUUCUUGAUAAAUUAUCACAUAAUCUCUUUUGGAAGAAAAAUUUGAAAUCCAAAAAAAAAACGAAAAAAAAAUCACCUUUGCCAUAUUUAUCUUGAUCUGGGCGAAAUUGUGAUAUGCUUCCUUUUUCAUCUAUAUUUCCUUACCUAUCUCAAUUGAUUGCUGUAGUUUAUGGAAAUCAAUUUUGAAUUUUGAAUUGGGUUGAAUCCAGAUUAGGAGACAAAAGAAAUCUGGCUUUUCCUUAAGGUGCACAUUUAAGGCAACUGCAUCUAAAUCGAUUUGGUGUCAAAUCCUUCUUUUAAUGCCCAUUUUCGUCUAUGAUGCUGCACAAAGUGAAAUUUGAUUUUUUUUUUCUAUUUGUGGGGUUUUGAUACUUGCCUUUUUGGGUAGAUUUAAAUAGAUCCAUAUUUAAUUUGCGUCGAAGUGAAUUAAAUUCAAACUUUUGUCCAGGUUCGUUUUUAUUUGAAUUCAAAGUUUCUUUUUUUGUUUAAGCUUGCUUUUACUUCCUUGACAUUGCUGGAGUAUUGUUUGCUUGGGUCUAUACUCUAGGUGAUAUUUUUCAAGUAGCACAAAGCCUAGUUCGUGUGUUACUUUCCAAAUUGUCAGUGUCUUCUUUCUACUUUUUUGCGCGCUUCCUUCUUUCUUUAGGUUUUCUUCUUUGUUUCAUUAAACGCACCUUGUGGUUGGUUGGUUGACCUUAGUUUCUGAAGUGCAAUUGAAGAAUCAACAAAAGAAUGGUAAGAGUACAAACACUUGAGUACUUUUUUUUAACACAAUAUUUGCUAGUUCUUUUUAUUCUUUGUUGAUUUAAGGUAGGAUGAGUAAAGACAAGAAUGUGGUGGAUCGUACUGAUGGAAGUGAAUCGAAUAUGGGUAACGAUUAUAAGCUCUUUAAGAAGUUAGUCAGUGGUGAGUUACAAAGGCUCAAUAAGACUCUUGAGAGGUUAACUGAAACUAUGGAGAGUUUGAAUAUCUCACAAGCUUCCACUUUUAUAAGAAUACCUCAAAGAACUCUUAAUUGCAAUAAUGACGGUGAUGAUUCGGAUGUGUUGGUUAAUAAUGUGUUGCUUGCUGCACAUUGUGAGAUGCUUGUUGCUAGGCGUGCUCUGAAUAUGCAGGUUAAGGAAAAAAGCCUAGAACAACGGGAAAACAUAUUUCACACUAGGUGUUUGAUUAAUGGAAAAGUGUGUACUCUCAUUAUUGAUGGAGGUAGUUGCACAAAUGUGGCUAGUGUGUAUAUGGUGGAAAAAUUGGGCUUGGCUUCUAUUAAACACCCUAAGCCAUAUAGAUUGAAAUGGUUGAAUGAUUGUUGAGAGGUUAGGGUUACACGCCAGGUGGUUAUACCAUUUUCUAUUGGUAGGUACAAGGAUGAGAUCUUGUGUGAUGUGGUACCUAUGCAAGCAAGCCAUAUGUUGUUGGGUAGAUCAUGGCAACAUGAUAGAAAGGUGCAACAUGAUAGAAAGGUGCAACAUGAUGGGUUCAAUAACAAGUACUCCUUCACUCAUGAAGGACAGAAGGUUAUACUCGCUCCUUUAUCACCUCAAGAGGUAUAUGUUGAUCAAAUAAAGAUGCUGGAGAGGGAGAGGGAGGCUUCGGCCUUGGUUACAAAGGGGAGUGAGAGCUUGAAUUUUGUGGAAAAGAUGAGAGAAAAGAGAGAGUUUGAGGGUAAAGAGGCUGGAAAAGAAUCAAGACAAGUUCAAGGAGGGAAGGUGGAGAAAGAAAAGGAGAAAGAAGAGGCUAAAGUUUCAAUCUCAACUUCCAUAGAGAUUGAAAUUGAAGAGGAAGUUGUAAUGCAUGAAUCUAAUGUAGUUGUUAUUGAGAAUUCCAUCAAUGAACUUAUAGAAGAGGUUGUGAAUGAUGAGGGACAUAGGGAGCACAUGAUUGAUGAGGUGGAGGAGGUGAAUGAGACUGUUUUGGAAGUUGUAGAGGAGAAUGGGUCACAUCCACAAGAUCUUUCUAUGACUAAUAUUUUUAUGCCUAGUUUAUUUGUUCUUGAUGUGUAGGUUGUUGAUGAAAACAUUCAUGACGAAAGUUUUAUCCUAUUUCCACCUAUUCAAAAGGAGGUCUUUGAAGAUACAUGGGUUCCUAAAGAUUCCCUUUUUGACAUAAAUAUCAGCAAGAUUCAAGGACGAAUCUUUUCUAAAGAAGUAGGGAAUGAUACGGAUCCAAUAGGGCAAACUUCUAACAAUGGUGUUCAGCAAACUUAUUUCUUUCAAAUAGAUCUAAAAAGAGUUCAAAAUCAUAUUCAUAUGAUCCAUAUAUAUUUGGGGUGUGCUUCAACUCAUAUGGGGCAAAUUUGGUGCAACACUUGCAAUCAUAGACUUAGGGAGCCUAAUCAAACCUAUGGGCUAACACUACACAAAGGAAAACCUAAAGUGAAUAUCAAUAAGGGCUUUUGUGAAGAUUCAGCUUUGUCAUGGUGGGCUUGCUAUAUUGUUAUUAUUGAAACACUUGUUUUAUUUUAGCUUUGUUUGGGCUUGUAUUCUGGCCAUAUUUUAUAUUUUAAGUUUUAGAGUGUUGGGCCAUAUUUUGGACUUAUGUUUUAAAACUUAUGUGUUUAAGUCAGGCCCAAGAAGAGUGUAUUAGGAUUUUAUUUGUUUUUCUCCUUACUAUAUAAGGAUAAGAAACAAUUGUAAGAGGCAGCUUUUAAUCAAAAUUUUCAGAAUUCCUUUCAUGCCUUUGGCAUGUAUUGCUUUGAGUGAGAGUGAGGAUUUGCUUUCAUCAAUUGCACCAGGAAUCUUGGCUAACUUAUCAACUAUUCGUUGUGGCGUUUGUCGGAUUCUCAUCUAAAUCCUUCAAUCAUUGGUGUUUAAGCUUCUCUAGGUUUUGGGUGCCAUAGGAGGUGGGUUUAUCAAAUCUUUGGAUUCCGUAUCUACUUGUGCAUGUGGGUUUGAGGUUUGUGCCGUAGGGUUCCACGUCAUUUUACCUUCUUAUCGUCGGAAUAGCUUUGACAGUUAAAAACCAUCUCCACUUUACACUCCCACUCUAAAUAGGCAUCAACAUCAGCCUUACCAUUGAAGCUUGGAAUCUUCAUCUUUACGGAGUUCAUAUUGUUAUCUACAUAGGGUACACGAUCAUUGAACCUUCUGGCUCGGAAAGGGGCUGAUUGUGCCACAUUUUCCUCUUCAUAGGAUGGAUCGUGUGUAUCAUCAUCCCCUGAUUGGACUUGCCCUUUGAAGAUCUAAGGUUGUCCUCAAGGUUAUCCAUUCUUAAAUUUAGCUUCUGAAAGCUAUCCAUGAAAGCUUGAUACAUAUCUUUAAGAUCAAACGUAGGGUCAGAAGUAUCACCAGUAUUAUGCCUAGACAUUAUAGAAAAAUUCACAAUUCUCUCAACUCACGUGUUUAACUUUCAAGCACUCACUUGGUAUCUCAAAAGUGCACUUCAGAAUAAAGAGUCAAUAAGCCAAGCUUGUAUGAUUCAAAUAAUAAGGAAAGCAAGGAAAGACCUAACAAGAAAAGAUAGGAAACAACACUAGAUUCAAACUGACCAAAAUGAACAAAUGGAUUGAUUUAGCACACAAAAGUGAAAUUUCGUGUACUAAGUGUAAUUAGAUGUUCAACAAUGUGCAAUUUGUCAAACUAAGUGUAAGGAACCAACAAACAAAAAGACACCAAAUUGACAAACUAAGAAUUAAAAAUUAACAAGACGGAUGUGCUUAACACGAAGUUAUCCCUAAGCAUGCAAUCCUAGGUUAACUGAUCUUAAUAUUGACUCAACAAAAACAAUUCAAAGCAAGCAAACAAAAAAGACACUUAAAAUAGGAAGUAUUAAGUAAAACUAUUUUUGUGAAAAUACUACCCAAAUUUGCCCUAAACCUACCCCAAACAUGUAUUUCGAAUCCCAAACCCUGAAAUAUGUUCAAGGUAUAUGAAAUAUGAUUUGUACCAGUAGGUAUCAAUAUCAAAAUGAAGUUUGAAUAAUUGACUCAAAUUGCAGAAAUUCUUUAUCUUUUUUUUUUCUUCUUUUGGUAUUUUUUUUUAUAUGGACUAAAGUAAAACACUGGAAAUACAAUUCUAAGAGUCUUAGAAUAGGAGCAUACGAAUUAGGGCAGAAAGCACAAACCAAACCACUGAAGAUAGUAAUUCUGCCUAAACAAGAAUUUAGGGUAAAAUACGAUUUGAACAGUAACUAAACAAUGUAUUCGACUCUGGUAGGUAUCCCAAACGGAAAGAUCAUGAAAAAUUGAAGAAAAGACACAAAGGAUAGUUAAGAAAUUAUUACUAAACCUAGCUCUGAUACCAAUUGAUGCGGAACCCCAGCCUAUUAGAGACUGAAACGACACAUACCCUAGUAAAAAUAACUUAGUUCAGAAAACAAUUCCCCAAUCUAAAGCACUCUUAAUUAACAUGCAAUUAAGAACACUUAUAACUGAUUGAUUUUAAAAGCAGCAAGAAUAAGAAACAUACAAGUUACUAUCAAACCUUAUUCGUGAUGCAAUGUCAAGAACCAAGAUCUCUCUUAAGCUCUCAAAGAAGAAUCGCAUAAAGCAAUUGUAUUGAAUAAUUGAUAAUAUCCCUACAAUAUGGAAAAAGAGAUGCUUUAUAUAACCUAAAUAAAGACCUAUGAUCUUUGCCACUUCCCACUACUAUAUAUGGACCCAUGAUCUAUGCCACUACCCACUACUCUGCAUAGAUCCAUAAUCUAUGCCACUAUCCACUACUGGAUAACUACCCACUACUGGUUAACUAUCCACUACUGGAUAACUACCCACUACUGAUUAAAUACCCACUACUGGUUAACUACUAACUGCUAAAUAAUACCCACUACUAAAUAACUACCCACUAUAAAUAUAAAGUUUGAAGUGUCAAUAAGAACACAUUCGGCCUAAUUGACUUGGAAUGGCCAGAUUGUUCUUCAACUUCAAAAUGAACUUGCAAAGCUUCAACAUAUUCCUUUAUGAAUCCUUGAAGUGUUUCCUUCAACCUCUUGGAUCUCAACCUUGUAAUUGUUCCUUGAGGCAAUGCUAGCUCAUCAGUGUUGUUGGUUGUGCUUACAUCAGCAAUGAAUUAUCCUAAUAAAAACUUUUCUCUUUACAGCAUAGACAUGGUUGAAUCUCUCGCUCAAGAAGUAUUCAAACUAAGUAAGGAAGACAAGUUGGAGGUAGUUCCAACUGAAAACUUGACCUUAGAGUUCCUUGACAAUAGCACACUCAACGAAGAAAUUGAAAAAAUAGUCCGCUCAUUGGACGCUUGAUGAGGAACCCUAUGGCACAAGCCUCAAACCCACACGCACAAGUAGAUAUGGAAUCCAAAGAUUUGAUAAACCCACCUUCUAUGGCACCCCACACUUAGAGAAGCUGAAACACCAAUAAUCGAAGGAUUUAGAUGAGAAUCUGACAAACGCCACAACGAAUAGUUGAUAAGUAAGCCAAGAUUCCUGAUGCAAUUGAUGAAAGCAAAUCCUCACUCUCACUCAAAGCAAUACACGCCAAAGGCAUGAAAGAAAUUUUGAAAAGUUUGAUUAAAAGCUGCCUCUUACAAUUAUUUCUUAUCCUUAUAUAGUAAGGAGAAAAACAAAUAAAACCCUAAGACACUCUUCUUGGACUUGACUUAAACACAUAAGGCCCAAGCCCAAUCACACACUAAAAUAACACAUAAGUAUUAAAACAUAAGCCCCAAACAUGGCUCAACACUCUAAAACUUAAAAGAUAAAGUAUGGCCAGAAUACAAGCCCAAACAAAGCUAAAAUAAAACAAGUGUUAAAUAAUAAAAAUAUAGCAAGCCCAUCAUAAUAAAGUUGAAUCUUCACAAAAGUCUUACUUGAUCUUCACUUUAGGCUUCCCUUUGUGUAGUUUUAGCCCAUAGAUUUGAUUAGGCUCCCUAAGCCUAUGAUUGCAAGUGUUGCACCAAAUCUGUCCCAUAUGAGUUGAAGCACGCCCCAAAUAUAUAUGGAUCAUAUGAAUAUGAUUUUGAACUCCUUUUCGAUCCAUUUGAAUGACAUAAGUUCCACACCAUUGUUAGAAAUUUGCCCUAUUGGAUCCGUAUCAUUCUCUCCUUCUUUAGAAAAGAUUCGUCCUCGAAUCUUGCUGAUAUUUAUGUCAAAAAGGGAAGCUUUAGUAACCCAUGUAUCUUCAAAGACCUCCUUUUGAAUAGGUGGAAAUAGGAUAAAACUUUCGUCAUGAAUAUUUUCAUCAACAACCACAUCAAGAACAAAUGAACUAGGCAUAAAAAUAUUAGUCAUAGAAAGAUCUUGUGGAUGUGACCCAUUCUCCUCUAUAACUUCCAAAACUGUCUCAUUCGCCUCCUCCACCUCAUCAAUCACGUGCUCCCCAUGUCCCUCAUCAUUCACAACCUCUUCUAUAAGUUCAUUGAUGGAAUUGUCAACAACAACUACAUUAGAUUCAUGCAUUACAACUUCCUCUUCAAUUUCAAUCUCUAUGGAAGUUGAGAUUGGAACUUUAGCCUCUUCUUUCUCCUUUUCUUUCUCCACCUUCCCUCCUUGAACUAGUCUUGAUUCUUUUUCAGCCUCUUUACCCUCAAACUCACUCUUUUCCCUCAUCUUUUCCGUAGAAUUCAAGCUCUCACUCCACUUUGUGGCCAAGGCCGAAGCCUCCCUCUCCCUCUCCAGCAUCUUUAUUUGAUCAACAUAUACCUCUUGAGGUGAUAAAGGAGCGAGUAUAACCUUCUGUCCUUCAUGAGUGAAGGAGUACAUGUUAUUGAACACAUCAUGUUGCACUUUUCUAUCAUGUUGCCACGGUCUACCCAACAACAUAUGGCUUGCCUGCAUAGGUACCACAUCACAUAAGAUCUCAUCCUUGUACCUACCAAUAGAAAAUGGUAUAACCACCUGGCGUGUAACCCUAACAUCUCCACAAUCAUUCAACCAUUGCAAUCUAUAUGGCUUAGGGUGUUGAAUAGAAGCCAAGCCCAAUUUUUCCACCAUAUACAUACUAGCCACAUUUGUGCAACUACCUCCAUCAAUAAUGAGAGUACACACUUUUCCAUUAACUAAACACCUAGUGUGAAAUAUGUUUUUCCGUUGUUCUAGGCUUUCUUCCUUAACCUGCAUAUUCAGAGCACGCCUAGCAACAAGCAUCUCACAAUAUGCAGCAAGCAACACAUUAUUAACCAACACAUCUGAAUCAUCACAGUCAUUAUUUCAAUUAGGAGUUUUUUGAGGUAUUCUUGUAGAAGUGGAAGCUUGUGAGACAUUCAAACUCUCCAUAGUUUCAGUCAACCUCUCAAUAGUCUUAUUGAGCCUUUGUAACUCACCACUAACUGACUUCUUAAAGUGCUUAUAAUCGUUACCCAUAUUCGAUUCACUUCCAUCAGUACGAUCCACCACAUUCUUGUCUUUACUCAUCCUACCUUAAAUCAACAAAGAACAAAAAGAACUAGCAAAUAUUGUGUUAAAAAAAAAAGUACUCAAGUGUUUGCACUCUUACCAUUCUUUUGUUGAUUCUUCAAUUGCACUUCAGAAACUAAGGUCAACCAACCAACCACAAGGUGCGUUUAAUGAAACAAAGAAGAAAACCUAAAGAAAGAAGGAAGCGCGCAAAAAAAAAACUAUAAAGAAGACACUGACAAUUUGGAAAGUAACAUACGAACUAGGCUUUGUGCUACUUGAAAAAUAUCACCUAGAGUAUAGACCCAAGCAAAAAAUACUCCAGCAAUGUCAUGGAAGCAAAAGCAAGCUUAAACCAAAAAAAGAAACCUAGAAUUCAAAUAAAAAAAAUGAACAUGAAUAAAUGUUUGAAUUUAAUUCACUUCAAAGCAAAUUAAAUAUGGAUCUAUAUAAAUCUACCCAAAAAGGAAAGUAUCAAAACCCCACAAAUAGAAUCAGAAAAGAAAAUGUAAAUUUCACUCACAUCAGAAACAUGGACGAAAAAUCUGGUUUUAAAAGAAGGAUUUGACAUCAAAUCGAUUUAGAUGCAGUUGCCUUAAAUGUGCACCUUAAGGAAUAGGCAGAUUUCUUUUGUCUCCUAAUCUGGAUUAAACCCAAUUCAAAAUUCAAACUUGAUUCCCAUAAACUACAGCAAUCAAUUGAGAUAGGUAAGGAAAUAUAGAUGAAAAAGGAAGCAUAUCACAAUUUCGGCCAGAUCAAGGUAAAUAAGGCAAAUGCAAAUUUUUUUUUUGUUUCUUUUUUUUUUUUUUUUGGAUUUCGAAUUUUCUUCCAAAAGAGAUUAUGUGAUAAUUUAUUAAGAAGGUGCAGCCAUGAAUACAAAAGCUUUCACCGAAAUCAAUAAUGAAGAAAAGAAAACUCAAAAAAAAUAACUCUAGAUCCUGAGAUAAAUAAGAAUUUACCUCACUUUGGCUCUGAUACCAACUGACGCAGAACCCUAUGCCACAAGCCUCAAACCCACACGCACAAGUAGAUAUGGAAUCCAAAGAUUUGAUAAACCCACCUCCUAUGGCACCCCACACUUAGAGAAGCUGAAACACCAAUAAUCGAAGGAUUUAGAUGAGAAUCUGACAAACGCCACAACGAAUAGUUGAUAUGUAAGCCAAGAUUUCUGAUGCAAUUGAUGAAAGUAAAUCCUCACUCUCACUCAAAGCAAUAUACGCCAAAGGCAUGAAAGAAAUUCUGAAAAGUUUGAUUAAAAGCUGCCUCUUACAAUUGUUUCUUAUCCUUAUAUAGUAAGGAGAAAAACAAAUAAAACCCUAAGACACUCUUCUUGGACCUGACUUAAACACAUAAGGCCCAAGCCCAAUCACACACUAAAAUAACACAUAAGUAUUAAAACAUAAGCCCCAAACAUGGCCCAACACUCUAAAACUUAAAAGAUAAAGUAUGGCCAGAAUACAAGCCCAAACAAAGCUAAAAUAAAACAAGUGUUAAAUAAUAAAAAUAUAGCAAGCCCAUCAUAAUAAAGCUGAAUCUUCACAAAAGCCUUACUUGAUCUUCACUUUAGGCUUCCCUUUGUGUAGUUUUAGCCCAUAGGUUUGAUUAGGCUCUCUAAGCCUAUGAUUGCAAGUGUUGCACUAAAUCUGUCCCAUAUGAGUUGAAGCACGCCCCAAAUAUAUAUGGAUCAUAUGAAUAUGAUUUUGAACUCCUUUUUGAUCCAUUUGAAUGACAUAAGUUUGCUCCACACCAUUGUUAGAAAUUUGCCCUAUUGGAUCCGUAUCAACGCUUCAAGCCAUAAGGCACUGAAAAUUGAGUCGCAAACAUUUCCUGCAUGUUUGAAAUAUGUAUUUCUAGGAAAUAAGAACACACUUUCAAUCAUAAUCUCCUCCAAGUUGAAUACUUUAAAAGCAAUGAAGUUAAUUUGGGUUUUGAACGAAUAUUAAGAUGGAAGUGGAUGAAGCUUACCAUGCCACUGAAGUCUAGCCUAAAACAAUAAAUAAGGGCACUGCUUGGGAGGCAACCCAAGGUUACAUGCUUGCCUAAGCUUGUAGAGUCACAAGUAAGUUUUCCUUUUAAUUUUUAGUUUUAAUUAAUUUAUUUGCUAUUUUUUGGAGCAGAUUUGACCUUCUGUGUAAUUUGAAAAUUUUAAAGAACCUUUUUGGAGGUAAAUCAUUAUUUUUGUUGCUCCAUAAAAAAGGUAAGUUAUGUUCUACUUCACUUUAUUUUCUACCAAAAAAAAAUAAAAAAUAAAGAAUAAAAAUAAUAAAUAAUAAAUAAAAUAAAAUAUAAACCUAAUUCUUUCUCUCUCCUAUCAUCUUCCUUUUCUUCUUCUUUUUUCUUUUCUUUUUCUUUUCUACAGAUGGCCAGCGUCGCCUCCUCCCGCGCCACUUCCUCUGCCGCCGAAAGUCACGCCGUUGGCGCUUCGACCGGGAGCCGCCACUCGUCGCACCGCCAACAGACCAUGAUCCUAUAAAAUGCGGCGACCAAACCAGCGGAUGCUCCAUCAUCGCCGGUAACGCGUCCCUCCUCGCCGGUCGCAUGCAGCUUUCGCGCAAGCCCCCUCCGCCGAUCGCGAAGCCUGCGCAACCUUCAUCGCCGAAUGCAGCGCCCCCUUCACAAAUCUCGAUGUCUUCGCCGCCGAUUGCCAAUCCAGCCACGCCUUAUUUGCCAAAUCCCGAGUCCAGCCUCACCAGUUGCCACCUCCUCAACGCCUCCACCGCCGUCAACCUCCUCACCGAUUGCAGUCAUGCACCAGCAUUUGCAGAUGAGAUGAGUUAUGAUGAUGAGGAGGUGAAAUCUGAGAUGAUAAAAAAAUGCAACCCAACCACCACCGGCUUGAGCUCUAUGCGACUUACCCUCAGGGAAGCUCUCUUUGACUUACUUUUAUUUUAUUUUGUGAACUUCUCCCGUUUCAGUGAAUUUUUCCACAUUGAGGACAAUGUGAGGAGUAUGUGUGGGGGAAAUGUGGUAUGGAAAUUGAAGUGUUUUUUUUAUUGAUGAGAUUGAUUGAUGAUUGAUGAUUAAUUAACAUAUAUAUCUGCUGUAUUCGAAAAUUUUUUGAGAAUAUUUAUUAUUUUUCUGCCAUUUUUCUUUGAGUUUUUUGUGUUUGAGUUAGAGGCUUGCCCAAACUCAUAAACACUUGAUCUGUUUUUAUGAUUCUCAACAAUUUCUCAGCACUUGCCCUUAGCUAAAUUGUUUCUCAGAUUUAAUUUUUAUGACUUUUAGUAUUAGUAUCAUUUUGUUCAAAAAAAAUAAAAAAAAAAUAAAAAAUUUUGUACAGCUCCUUACUUGCCAUGAGAAAUUGAUAUGUCUUUUAUCAUAGAAUUUAAGUUCUUAUGCCAUUUGUAUGCUGAUUUAAAUAGAAUAAAUUUAUCAUUGUUCAUUUUGUUAGUUUUAUUUUUAAUAUUUGUUUUGAAAACUCAUGAAGUAUGGUCCUUAUUUAAACAGUUGGGUAAUGGAUGCAUGUUUUUUUAAAUGAAUUAUUGCUCUUUAUUGAGAAUGAAUUAAAGGAUAUUUUCUAUACUAUAUGUUUCUGUGAAAAUUAAGGGGUGUCAUAAAAAAAUAAAAAAUAAAAAAUAAAAAAAUAAAAUAAAAAAAUAGAAAUAAAUGCACUCCUAUGACCUACUCCUCUAGUUGCUUGAUCAAUUGGUUACCAACCCGAGGUGAUACGGAUCCAAUAGGGUAAAUUUCUAACAAUGGUGUGGAGCAAACUUAUGUCAUUCAAAUGGAUCUAAAAGGAGUUUAAAAUCAUAUUCAUAUGAUCCAUAUAUAUUUGGAGCAUGCUUCAACUCAUAUGGGACAGAUUUGGUGCAACACUUGCAAUCAUAGACUUAGGGAGCCUAAUCAAACCUAUGGGCUAAAACUACACAAAGGGAAGUCUAAAGUGAAGAUCAAGUAAGGUUUUUGUGAAGAUUUAGCUUUGUUAUGAUGGGCUUGCUAUAUUUUUAAUAUUUAACACUUGUUUUAUUUUAGGUUUGUUUGGACUUGUAUUCUGGCCAUACUUUAUCUUUUAAGUUUUAGAGUGUUGGGCCAUGUUUUGGGCUUAUGUUUUAAUAUUUAUGUGUCAUUUUAGUGUGUGAUUGGGCUUGGACUUUAUGUGUUUAAGUCAGGUCCAAGAAGAUUGUCUUAGGAUUUUAUUUGUUUUUCUCCUUACUAUAUAAGGAUAAGAAACAAUUGUGAGAAGCAUCUUUUAAUCAAAAUUUCAAGAAUUCUUCUCAUGCCUUUGGCGUGUAUUGCUUUGAGUGAGAGUGAGGAUUUGCUUUCAUCAAUUGCACUAGGAAUCUUGGCUAACUUAUCAACUAUUCGUUGUGGCAUUUGUCAGAUUCUCAUCUAAAUCCUUCGAUCAUUGGUGUUUUAGCUUCUCUAAGUGUGGGGUGACAUAGGAGGUGAGUUUAUCAAAUAUUUGGAUUCCAUAUCUACUUGUGCGUGUAGGUUUGAGACUUGUGCCAUAGGGUUCCAUGUCACGAGGGCCCAAGUAGUGCGGUACUUGGUGUCCCUUAAGGUGAUUCCGUAUGGAGAAAUCGGUGUUUGGGAGAGUAUCACCCUUUUUGGGCUAUUUAAAAAACUCGUCCAUACCUUUUUAUUAGGUAACUAUGAGUGGAGCUAGUAGUAACUUGAGCUGAAUAACCUGGGGCAAGUGGCUCAGUAACCAUUUGUUUCACGUUCACUUUAUCGGUUUCAGGCAAGAUAUAGUAGGAAGUGUAAAUAAUAAAUAAUAAACCCCCAAGUUUUUAAAUUUUAUUGGUCUAGUUAAGAGUUCCUAAAAUUCUAUUCUUUCAAAAGGACAUAUUAAUAUUAUAUGGUAUUCUAAUAUUUUAUGUGUUUGAAAUUGAAUUGAUGACCAACUUUAUAACUUGAAAAACACGUUUUAAACAUGAAACUUGUUGAAGUGAACUUUGGUGAAAUUAACAUAUUUCUGCUAUCAUCAUAUUGCGUGACAAUUUAGUUCUUUGUUUUGGACAAAUUAAAUUUCAGAUUGGUUGAGGACAGAGCUGUGUUUUAUUAUUUCAUUUUAAUUUCUAUGCUUGAGGACAAGCAAAAGUGCAAGUGUGGGGAAAUUUGAUGAGUUGCAAAACUCACAAUUUUGUUCCCAUUUAAUUCCAUGAUUUUACUAUCAUUUUGAGAUAAAUAUUUAAUUUUAAUUUGAAUUUAAUUUUGGACAGAUUUGUGAGUAGAAAUUGAGAAAAGGAACGAAAAAAGAUUUUUGUACCGGAAGUUACAACCUUGACCAGACCUGUAACCCAAGGCAAUGGGGAGAUAAAGAUAGAUUUUGCCAAGCAAGGAUAAGAUCAGUUUCAAGUGGAAUCAAAUUGAAUCAAAUUGAAUCAAACACAAUCAUAUUAGGAUAUAGAUAAGGAUAGAGAUAAGAUAGAAAUAGUAGAUUUUAUUUUAAAUUAAGUUUUAUCUUUUUGUGCCUAUAUAAAAGCUCCUAGUAUUAAACCCAUUGAUCAUAUUCUAUCUCUCACUCUCAUUUCCUCUCUUGCUGGCCCCCACUCUCUUCUCCAUUUUUUUUUUCUUCUUCGUCUUUUUCUUAGUUGUUAUAAUUUUAUUAUACCCAUGAGUGGCUAAACAAUUAUUUUUCAGUUGAAGGUUAAAUUAAAUUGAGGUUUGUUCAAGUUGUGAGGUUAUACACUUUAAUUCUCUUCAUCUUAUUUCUAUUUUCUAUUAAUUUCUGAAUUCGAUAAACACCACCUCCAUUGUUGUUUUCUUGAGAAUUCAGGGGACCCAUUGAAUCUCUUGGGAAGAUAAUAUAUUGCUAAUUAAUCUAAUUAAAUCUAUAAUUAUUUAAUUGGGUUAAUAAUAAGUAGAAAUUAAUAUAUUAGUUUAUAUUAAGAAAUUAAUAGAUUUGAUUUAAAUAAAAUGCGUAUUUUUAUUGAUCAAGUUUGGGUUCUUCUCUCUUAAUGCAGUUGACUAAUUAAAUCUACACGCGUGUUGGGGUUGUUAGGGUAAAAUUUGUUUUGAACAGCAACCAAACAAUGUAUUCGACUCUAAUAGGUAUCCCAAACCAGAUUUUCAAAGUGAUAUAUUCGGCCAAUAAUGGACAAAAUUGAAUGCAAAGAUGCAAAGGAUAGUUAAGAAAUUAUUACUAAGCCUAGCUCUGAUACCAAUUGAUGCGGAACCCCAGCCUAUUAGAGACUGAAACGACACAUACCCUAGUAAAAAGAACUUAAUUCAGAAAAUAAUUCCCCAAUCUAAAGCACCCUUAAUUAACAUGCAAUUAAGAACACUUAUAAUGAAUUGAUUUUAAGAGCAGCAAGAAUAAGAAACAUACAAGUUAGUAUCAAACCUUAUUCGUGAUGCAAUGUCAAGAACCAAGAUCUCUCUUAAGCUCUCAAAGAAGAAUCACAUAAAGCAAUUGUAUUGAAUAAUUGAUAAUCUGUGUACAAUAUAGAAAAAGAGAUGCUUUAUAUAGCCUAAAUUAAGACCCAUAAUCUUUGCCACUUCCCACUACUAUACAUGGACCCAUGAUCUAUGCCACUUCCCACUACUAUACAUGGACCCAUGAUCUUUGCCACUUUCCACAACUAUGCAUGGACCCAUGAUCUAUGCCACUAUCCACUACUAGAUAACUACCCACUACCAAAUAACUACCCACUACUGGUUAACUACCAACUACUAAAUAACUAAGCACUAUAAAUACAAAAUUUGAAUUGUCAAUAAGGACACAUUUGGCCUAAUUGACUUGGAAUGGCCAGAUUGUUUUUCAACUUCAAAAUGAACUUGCAAAGCUUCAACAUAUUCCUUCAUGAAUCCUUGAAGUGCUUCCUUCAACCUCUUGGAUCUCAGCCUUGUAAUUGGUCCUUAAGGCAAUGCUAGCUCAUCAUUUUUGGUAUUGUUGGUUGUGCUUACAUCACCUUCGGUAGAAUCCGGCAUGGCCAAGGAAAAAGUGAAUUUCUCGAAUGCUGAUUGGAUAAGGCAGAUUUUUAAUUGUGUCUACCUUGGCUUUGUCAACCUCUAUUCCUUUUACUGAAACAAUGUAGCCUAAAAUCAAACUUUUGUUAACCAUAAAGUGACAUUUUUCAUAGUUUUAAACCAUAUUUGACUCAUUGUUGUCAAGACCGGUCAAAAAUAACAUUUCUGGUUAUCAACAAUAUUACAACUGUAGAUAGUGGUGAAAUGAUCGAAUCCACAGAGAAUUGAAAACUUACCUAUCUUCCUUAUCAAGACCAAGAAAAUAAACUGAAAGCGAAUAAACUGAAAGUAAAAUAAAUUGACAAUAAAAGUAAAAGGAGUUUCUUGAGAUUGAUUCAAUUGAACUAAUAAAGAAAGCAAUAAAGUAAGCGAAUAAUAAAACUAAAGAGAAAUCAAUAAUAAGAAAGUUCUAGUUGAAGAAUUGGAUCCACUUCAGUUGUUGGGAUUGAUCAUUGAAACUUGGUUCUUUUGUUUGAUUCAAUAAAUUAGUUAUGGGGAUGGAAAAUGUUUCUCAUCACCAUAUCUCUCCUUAAGCAUAAACCAAUUAGGAAACGUCCUCUAAUUAAUUACUAAUCAACAAGUUGCCAAGGAACGUCAUUGGGCCUUAGGCAUCAAAACAACUGUCAAUUGCAUUAAGAAAUAGAGAGACCUAAUUCUAGCUACCCAAACGCAUGGUGAUAUUGCUAGAUUAUGCAACUUCCUUAGUUUUUACACAAAGUGUUCUUGUGUUUGAACAAUCCAAGCAAUUACGGAUUCAAAAUUAUUCAAACUAACAAUAUAUUAUGACGCGAAACCCUAUGGCACAAGCCUCAAACCCACACGCACAAGUAGAUAUGGAAUCCAAAGAUUUGAUAAACCACCUCCUAUGGCACCCCACACUUAGAGAAGCUGAAACACCAAUAAUCGAAGGAUUUAUAUGAGAAUCUGACAAACGCCACAACGAAUAGUUGAUAAGUAAGCCAAGAUUCCUGAUGCAAUUGAUGAAAGCAAAUCCUCACUUUCACUCAAAGCAAUACACGCCAAAGGCAUGAAAGAAAUUCUAAAAAGUUUGAUUAAAAGCUGCCUCUUACAAUUGUUUCUUAUCCUUAUAUAGUAAGGAGAAAAACAAAUAAAACCCUAAGACACUCUUCUUGGGUCUGACUUAAACACCUAAGGCCCAAGCCCAAUCACACACUAAAAUAACGCAUAAGUAUUAAAACAUAAGCCUAAAACAUGGCCCAACACUCUAAAACUUAAAAGAUAAAAUAUGGCCAGAAUACAAGUCCAAGCAAAGCUAAAAUAAAACAAGUAUUAAAUCAUAAAAAUAUAGCAAGCCCAUCAUAUCAAUGCUGAAUAAAUUAGACAGCACUAUCUCCAUUACACACCUUAAGCAAGGUGAGUAGCUUAGGUGUGUCUUCAAGCUUUACGAGACAUUUGCCAAAAGCAAGCUCAGUCAAUUCUUGUGUUACUUGUUCUUGAAUGUGUAAGUUCAUAGCUGCUUCAAGCUUCUUAGCUUUGCUCCUUGUCACUGGUCCACUAGGGAGCACCAAUGGAUCCUUGCUUCCUUGAUUCUCAUGUGAUUGGGUUUGCUGGUUCGUAUCAUUCCCUCCUUCCUCGAAAAGAUUUGUCCUCAAAUCUGGAACAUGGUCAAAAGGAGACAAGUCAGACACAUUAAAGGUAGCACUAACCCCAUACUCACCUGGCAAGUCUAUUUUAUAAGCAUUGUCAUUGAUUCGCUCUAAGACUUGAAAUGGACCAUCACCACGAGCAUCCAGCUUAUUUUUCCUCUGAUUUGGAAAUCGUUCCUUUCGGAAGUGCACCCAAACCCAAUCACCAGGAACAAACACCACUUUCUUUCGUCUCCUAUUUGCCUUGUCAGCAUACACCUUGUUCCUCUUUUCUAUGUUAGACCUAGCCUUCUCAUGUAAGGACUUCACCAAUUCUGCCUUUUUAGCACCAUCUAAACUAGCAAGCUCAUGUAAAGGUAAAGGAACAAGAUCAAGUACAGUUAGUGGGUUAAAACCAUAAACAAGCUCAAAUGGAGAAAACCCCGUAGAAGAAUGUAUGCUACGGUUAUAUGCAAACUCAAUGAAAGGCAAGCAAUCUUCCCAAGUGUUCAAAUUCUUACCCACUAUAGCUCUGAGUAAGGUACCAAGAGUUCUAUUCACCACCUGACGCAGAACCCUAUGGCACAAGCCUCAAACCCACACGCACAAGUAGAUAUGGAAUCCAAAGAUUUGAUAAACCCACCUCCUAUGGCACCCCACACUUAGAGAAGCUGAAACACCAAUGAUCGAAGGAUUUAGAUGAGAAUCCGACAAAUUAAAUAUGGAUCUACUUAAAUCUACCCAAAAAGGAAAGUAUCAAAACCCCACAAAUAGAAUCAGAAAAGAAAAAUGUAAAUUUCUCUCAGAUCAGAAACAUGGACGAAAAUUCUGGUGUUAAAAGAAGGAUUUGACAUCAAAUCAAUUUAGAUGCAAUUGCCCUAAAUGUGCACUUUAGGAAAUAGGCAGAA